GAUGAACGCUGGCGGCGUGCCUAAUACAUGCAAGUCGAGCGAACAGACGAGGAGCUUGCUCCUCUGACGUUAGCGGCGGACGGGUGAGUAACACGUGGAUAACCUACCUAUAAGACUGGGAUAACUUCGGGAAACCGGAGCUAAUACCGGAUAAUAUAUUGAACCGCAUGGUUCAAUAGUGAAAGACGGUUUUGCUGUCACUUAUAGAUGGAUCCGCGCCGCAUUAGCUAGUUGGUAAGGUAACGGCUUACCAAGGCAACGAUGCGUAGCCGACCUGAGAGGGUGAUCGGCCACACUGGAACUUAGACACGGUCCAUACUCCUACGGGAGGCAGCAGUAGGGAACCUUCCGCAAUGGGCGAAAGCCUGACGGAGCAACGCCGCGUGAGUGAUGAAGGUCUUCGGAUCGUAAAACUCUGUUAUUAGGGAAGAACAAAUGUGUAAGUAACUAUGCACGUCUUGACGGUACCUAAUCAGAAAGCCACGGCUAACUACGUG
rnacentral:rRNA from 1 species